rnacentral:rRNA from 1 species
GAUGAACGCUGGCGGCGUGCUUAACACAUGCAAGUCGAACGGUGAAGGCGGAGCUUGCUCUGCUGGAUCAGUGGCGAACGGGUGAGUAACACGUGAGCAAUCUGCCCCUGACUCUGGGAUAAGCGCUGGAAACGGCGUCUAAUACUGGAUACGAGCUGCGAAGGCAUCUUAAGCAGCUGGAAAGAACUUCGGUCAGGGAUGAGCUCGCGGCCUAUCAGCUUGUUGGUGAGGUAACGGCUCACCAAGGCGUCGACGGGUAGCCGGCCUGAGAGGGUGACCGGCCACACUGGGACUGAGACACGGCCCAGACUCCUACGGGAGGCAGCAGUGGGGAAUAUUGCACAAUGGGCGAAAGCCUGAUGCAGCAACGCCGCGUGAGGGACGACGGCCUUCGGGUUGUAAACCUCUUUUAGCAGGGAAGAAGCGAAAGUGACGGUACCUGCAGAAAAAGCGCCGGCUAACUACGUG